rnacentral:tRNA from 1 species
AACUUUUAAAGGAUAA